CGGACGGGUGAGUAAUGUCUGGGAAACUGCCUGAUGGAGGGGGAUAACUACUGGAAACGGUAGCUAAUACCGCAUAACGUCGCAAGACCAAGGAGGGGGACCUUCGGGCCUCUUGCCAUCAGAUGUGCCCAGAUGGGAUUAGCUAGUAGGUGGGGUAACGGCUCACCUAGGCGACGAUCCCUAGCUGGUCUGAGAGGAUGACCAGCCACACUGGAACUGAGACACGGUCCAGACUCCUACGGGAGGCAGCAUG
rnacentral:rRNA from 1 species